rnacentral:rRNA from 1 species
ACCUGUUCUAUAAUUGAUAAUCCACGAUUUAAUGUACCUGUUUUAAUAAAUUUAUAUAUCGUCGUAGCUUGAAUAUUUUAUAAGAAAUUUAAUAUUCGAGAUUUUUAUUAAAAAAUAAAUCAGAUCAAGGUGUAGUUUAUAAAUAAGAAGAAAUGGGUUACAAUUAAAUUAUUAAUGAAUUAAUUUAUAUAAUUAAAUUAUGAAAUUGGAUUUGAAAGUAAUUUUUUAUAAUUUUAAAAAAUGAUUUUAGCUCUAAAAUAUGUACAUAUUGCCCGUCACUUUUGUUUUAAGAUGAAAUAAGUCGUAACAAAGUAGAUUUACUGGAAAGUGAAUCUAGAA